AUAGACACUUAGUUUUACCUCCUAUUCUUACCAUUAUAGAGUAGUUACAUAAAGUUUUAUCAUUUCAAGCAGUUUCAGGUUCCCUACCCCUCUCUAUGUGCUAAAAAGCCUUCCCUAUUCUCUAAGCUAUUUUAUCUUAAUUGCCCACAGUUUGGGCAGAAACUUUUAAGCAGUUUUACAUUUGCAAAGUCACACCUUACUAGCCUAAAUAGCUAAUAUUUUAUUUCAUUUCUAUUUCAGUCCCAUGCCCUGGAUGUGCACCCAGAGGCUGGUCUCCAGCCAAGGGAUGUGCUCCUCUCCAGAGGGGCACAAGGAGUCCAAUAUGCCCAUGGAUGAGCCCCAUGGCAAUGCCACCAACUCCAUCCUGGAUGGAGAGAGCCAGGGAAGAGCCUGCAGGGUGGGCCAGAGGUCGUUCUCCUCUGGGCUCUGGUAAGACCAGAGCAGUUUGUUGUGGCCAGUGGAGGCUGUGGAGGUGAAUGGGCCUGAAGGGAGGCUCCCCAAGGAGGUGCCAAGAAUCAGUCGAGCCUGGGGGAGGCAAAAGGGGUUAGUCAGGAGACGGGGCCAGAGGAGGUGCCCAGAACAGGAGGAGGCCACAGGGCACCCUACUCCCCAAACUUCUCCUAGCCCAUGAUACCUCCAAGGGAGACCAAAAGGGCUGAAGGGGGAAGAAAGCAAAGGGUGGAGAGAGUCUAGGAGGGACCACAGGGGUUCUGGAGAAGUCCAGCGGUCACUUUGGCCUUUCCCCCUCUGGGUUACACCCAUAUAAACCCCAGCUGCCCAGCCCGGAGUCCUCCUGACUUGUCUGCUGUGGCCCAACUGUGGCAGAGGUUGCACACACAGAGGGGGCAGGACAUGCUGCCUGCAGCUCACAGGAGGACAGGGAGCUACAGGCGCUGCAGCCUUCAGAGCAGGACCAUGGACAAGCUGCCACGUGUCCCCACACAACUCCAGUGCCACAAUCCAUCCAUUCCCUGCUCCCAUAUCACCUGGAGAUGUGAUUCCCCUGUUUAAUCAGACGUACAUUAUAGCCAAAGGGAGCUCUGUCUACAUCCCUGGUCAGCCCAGUCAAGAUGCAGCUGAGGCUGGAGGUCUGGCCCCAAGUGGGGUGGAAGGGAGCAGCAAUGUGGAGUAAGGAUGUUCCAUUGCUCCAGGUGGGAAUGAGGAAGCCUGGGUGGAUGGGGAUUGAGACCAUUCCUGAAGGUGCAUCCAGACCUACAGGUUGGAGGUAUUGCUGUCCCUCCUACAAUGACCAGACACUGCAGGCCAGGGGAAAAAUCAGCCCCCGAGAAGGCCAAAAGGGAAGCCACGUUUCUUCUGUCCUAUUCCGUUCUGUUGAGCAACCAAGCCUGUGGUUUUGCAGUUGCAAAACAAACUCCCUAUUCACAAGGCAGAAGGAGGACAUUUCCCCCACCAAGUGACCGGAAGUAAGAAAGAGAAACAAAAAGUCCUGAGGGGCUUUUCUCCCAGGGUCUGCAGGAUCUAAGACCAAGUCAAUCACGGGGGGCCAGACCCAGGCAUGGACUUUUAGGACACUGCGGUUCCAGUUUCAACCAUCCCAGCCCUGCAUUUUGUGUUUGCAGAAACCCAAGCUGUUGGCGGACAGGAAGGUGGGUUGUGGCAACGAAGGUUCAUAUCAGGACCCACAAGAAGCCACCAAGCUGCUCAGUCACCUACUAGCCCGCGCCUUCCUCUGAAGGAAGCCCUGCUGAGUGACGAGUUACUGAGAGAGCCAAGAGGAUACAAUGCUGCCUGUGACCCAUGUGUUGGCCUUCGGUGCUUGGCUGGUGGCACAGAGCAAGGCUGCACCAAGUGCUCCAACAAUCUCCAUCUUCCUGAAGCCACCUGGGGUGAUCCCACCAGGAGGCUCCACCACUAUCUGCUGCAGCUGCCAGCGUGGCAAUGGGAACUUCAUGCUGUACAAGGAUGGCCACCAGCUCCGUACCCUGGAGCAGAGUGGCAGCAGGCCGAGUUCUCCAUCUCUAUGCCCCUACAAGGACACAGGUACCUACAACUGCCAUUACCUGAGGGAGGCACCUGUGCUGGCUCGCAGCGAUGGCCGUGGAUGGUCAUGGUGACAGGGUGAAAGAUGUGCCGUUACCCCUUCGUGCAGGGUCACAUGCCCUAUGUGCAGACUGGUAUGCAUGCAGACACUUGGGCUUCCCUAUCCAUAUGAUGGGCAGAGUUCUCUUCUCCCUGGCUUGGAGAGGUGGGGAACCAUCUGCACCUUCAUCUAAGCCUUUUGAUGGGUUUAUGGAGAUCUGGUGGCUCCCGGCACCAUUUCAAAGCCCUGUAUUCUUCUCCUGUCCCCCCAGGGAUCCAUCUCCCUGGGACCCGACCGUCUCUGUCCGCCUGGGCAUGAGGUGACUGCAGGAACUCAUGUGAUAUUCCGUUGCACCCCCCCACACCGCAGUACUGGCCUGUUUCCUGUACCUGGAGGGGCCAUAUCCGAUCCCAAGUACUCUCAAGGGAACAAGAUGACUACAACUUCUCCCAUGUGCAGAAAGGUGAGGGGGGCCGCUACAGCUGCCAGUGUUUCACCAAGAAUGCUUCGAUAGAAUGGUCUGCUGUCAGCAAGACCCUGGAUUUGGUGGUGAGAGAUUACACGUUGUGCAACGCAGUGCGCCUGGCGCUGGGGGCCGGGCUGCUGGUCCUGCUGGGGCUCAUUACGGCUGAAGCCACGCGAGGCCGCUGCUGCCGGGGCAGGAGGGCCCACGCUCUCCCCGCAGGCAGCGCUCCCCUGACUGCCACCAGUGUGGGAACACCAGGAUUCCCUUCCCGCGCCUCGCGGUGGGAUAAAUAAACCGUUCCUGUCGCUGUCUCUGUCCCUGCCCCCGUCCCUUGUCCCUGUCGCUGUGCCUGUCCCUGUCCGCUCGGGGGUCCCCGCAGGACGGGCGAGGGGGGGUACCCGGCGGAACAAGCAGAAGGGCGGGGCUUCGGGAGUGGGCGGGAUCCAUGCCUGUGGAGGGGCGGGGCUUGUGCUGGGGGCGGGGUCUGCGCUCCCACGCGCAGUGACCAUUCCCGUCCUGCAGUGGCCGCUGCACUGACCUCUCCCUCUGCGCCUGACCCCCUCUGUCUGCACAGUGACCACUCCACUGAUGUCUCCUGCCACACAAUGACCACCCUGGCCACUCAGUGACCGCUCCUGCGCAGUGACCACUCCUGUGGCACAGUGACCACUGCCAUGGUACAGUGACCACGCUCGUGAGCACA